rnacentral:ncRNA from 1 species
GGAGAAGUAUCAUCGCAAGGCUGAAACUUAAAGGAAUUGACGGAAGGGCACCACCAGGAGUGGAGCCUGCGGCUUAAUUUGACUCAACACGGGGAAACUUACCAGGUCCAGAAUAGUAAGGAUUGACAGACUGGAGCUCUUUCUUGAUUCUAUGGGUGGUGGUGCAUGGCCGUUCUUAUUUGGUGGAGCGAUUUGUCCGGUUAAUUCCGUUAAUGAACGAGACCUUAUCCUGCUAACUAGCUAUGCGGAGGUUUCCCUUCGCGACCAGCUUUUUAGAGGGACUACGGCCUUUUAGGGCGCGGAAGUUUGAGGCAAUAACAGGUAUGUGAUGCCCUUAGAUGUUCUGGGCCGCACGUGUGCGACACUGAUGUAUUCAACAAGUUUAUAGCCUUGGCCGAUAGGCAAGGGUAAUCUUUGAAAUUUCAUCAUGAUGGAGAUAGAUCAUUGCAAUUGUUGGUCUUAAACGAGGAAUUCCUAGUAAGCGUGAGUCAUCACCUCGCGUUGACUACGUCUCUGCCCUUUGUACACACCGCCCGUCGCUCCUACCGAUUGAAUGAUCCGGUGAAAUGUUCGGAUCGCGGCGACGUGCGCGGUUAGCUACCCACGACGUUGCAAGAAGUCCAUUGAACCUUAUCAUUUAGAGGAAGGAGAAGUCGUAGCAAGGUUUCCUUAGGUAAACCUGCGGAAG